rnacentral:lncRNA from 1 species
CACCAGAUGAUAGUACAUAAUCUGCUCCGGCGCUCCCGGCUCGCUCAGUUGGUCUGUGGUGAGCUUCGCCAUGGCCUCGUCGUUGGGUGCCAAGACUGUCAAAACAUAGCCUUCAGAGACUAAUCGGCCCAUUUCGGUGGCGAGAGAGGUGAGGUUGACGAGAAUGUCCGCCAUUUCGUUGUACCCGCCGUAAUGUAGUAGAGUUUGGAUGAAGUCCUUGACCUGGCUCUCGCCGUCGAAGUGGCCGCGGGGACCGCCGGGCCCAGGCGCCGGCGCUGGAGCUAGGGAGGGUCCAGGGGCCAUGGCGUCGUAGAUCGGAAGCACCGGAGGGGCUCCGGCAGGGACCGACACUGGCUUUUUCAGGCGGUGCGUCCUAGGAUCAACCUCCGGCGCCCCCUCUGGCAGAACGGCAGAAAUGGACCGGAGACUCCUCCUGCG